rnacentral:rRNA from 1 species
GAACCAGCGGAGGGAUCAUUACUGAGUUUACGCUCUAUAACCCUUUGUGAACAUACCUAUAACUGUUGCUUCGGCGGGUAGGGUCUCCGCGACCCUCCCGGCCUCCCGCCUCCGGGCGGGUCGGCGCCCGCCGGAGGAUAACCAAACUCUGAUUUAACGACGUUUCUUCUGAGUGGUACAAGCAAAUAAUCAAAACUUUUAACAACGGAUCUCUUGGUUCUGGCAUCGAUGAAGAACGCAGCGAAAUGCGAUAAGUAAUGUGAAUUGCAGAAUUCAGUGAAUCAUCGAAUCUUUGAACGCACAUUGCGCCCGCCAGCAUUCUGGCGGGCAUGCCUGUUCGAGCGUCAUUUCAACCCUCAAGCUCUGCUUGGUGUUGGGGCCCUACAGCUGAUGUAGGCCCUCAAAGGUAGUGGCGGACCCUCCCGGAGCCUCCUUUGCGUAGUAACUUUACGUCUCGCACUGGGAUCCGGAGGGACUCUUGCCGUAAAACCCCCCAAUUUUCCAAAGGUUGACCUCGGGAU